UACAGAGGGUGCGAGCGUUGUCCGGAAUCACUGGGCGUAAAGGGCGCGUAGGUGGUGGCUUAAGCGUGCGGUGAAAGCUCGGAGCUCAACUCCGAGUCGGCCGUGGCGACUCGUGGGCUGGAGCACUGUAGAGGCGGGUGGAAUUCCGGGUGUAGCGGUGGAAUGCGUAGAGAUCCGGAAGAACACCAGUGGCGAAGGCGGCCCGCUGGGCAGUGGCUGACGCUGAGGCGCGACAGCGUGGGGAGCAAACAGG
rnacentral:rRNA from 1 species